rnacentral:rRNA from 1 species
CUACUCUUGACAUCCAGAGAACUUAGCAGAGAUGCUUUGGUGCCUUCGGGAACUCUGAGACAGGUGCUGCAUGGCUGUCGUCAGCUCGUGUUGUGAAAUGUUGGGUUAAGUCCCGCAACGAGCGCAACCCUUAUCCUUUGUUGCCAGCGGUCCGGCCGGGAACUCAAAGGAGACUGCCAGUGAUAAACUGGAGGAAGGUGGGGAUGACGUCAAGUCAUCAUGGCCCUUACGAGUAGGGCUACACACGUGCUACAAUGGCGCAUACAAAGAGAAGCGAACUCGCGAGAGCAAGCGGACCUCAUAAAGUGCGUCGUAGUCCGGAUUGGAGUCUGCAACUCGACUCCAUGAAGUCGGAAUCGCUAGUAAUCGUAGAUCAGAAUGCUACGGUGAAUA